AGAGGACAAUAAAAAUCCUUCUACAAGCUCUGAACAUCUAUUUGAAGUUGAGAUUUUUGCCGAUGAGUUGAACAUUCGUCAAAGAAUUAAUUACUCACACUCCUUUGCUACCAGUCUCUUUCUGUCCUUCCACAAAAUUAUUUCUUAUGUUUUCCAGAAACAGUUUAUAUUUUCCUCCCUUUUUGUAAUUUGAAAUUGCGAUGUUGAGAAAGUCUGUGAUGCAUAGCAACACCUUCAGUAUAGCACUUCCCCACUGGUCAUACAGAAGAUUAAUUUAAAAAUACCAACAAAAAUUUAAAAUCAUAAAAGACAAGUGUCACUAGAAAUGAGGAAAAAAUUUCAAUUAACUUAAAACUAAAUUAACGAAAAAACAAAUCAAAAAAAUAUCUGAGAAAGAAAUCCUAGAAAUAAACUGUUCAAUAAGAGAAGAAUUUGAGGAGCCAAAUAUAUGGUGAAUUUAUUCUUCUUGGAGUGUGAAUGGUUUCUCCUCAUCUAAUCUUGGUAGCACUACCAAAAUCAUUCCAUUUAUCACUGAAAUGAGUUGUAUUUUUGGAUAUUUACAAAAUUUUUACUUGAUGGAGAAAAUGUUAUGGAUUCAUUUCUAUCUUGGUUUACUGUCUGCAGGUUUCAUUACAGCCAAAGCCAUUCAACCACAAGAAUUUGUCCAAAUUCCAGUCAACCAAUCAGUGAUAGAAGGAUCAACAGCUACUUUAAAAUGUCAAGUUAAAAAUAGAGUAGGAAAAUUACAAUGGACAAAAAAUAAAUUUAUUUUAGGCGUAGACCGAAAUUUACCAAGUUAUGAAAGAUAUUCAAUGGUUGGAAAUCCAGCAAGAGACGAGUUCCAUCUACGAAUUGUAUCUGCUAAAUUAGAAGAUGAUGGCUUGUAUCAAUGUCAGGUUGGACAAACAGAAGAAGCUGAAGGCAUCAGAAGCAACACUGUUAAACUCACAGUUUUAUUUCCACCUGACCCACCACAGAUUUUAGAAGCACCAAUUGCCGCAGUUAUAUUAGGAAAACCUACCAAUAUUACAUGUCUUGUGAAAAAUGGGAAACCAGGAGCUAAAAUUACGUGGUACCUGGCAGGAAAGUUGAUGAAUCGGAAAUUAUAUUCAACUGAAAUGUUUACUAAACCAAACAAACGAGUUGAUACAAAAGGCAAUAUAAUGUUAAUACCUAAAACAGAACAUUCUGGAAAACUACUAGAAUGCCAUGCUAUAAAUGAAGCUUUACAAAAUCCAUAUGUGACAAGGGUUACAUUAAAUGUUCAAUAUCCUCCAGAUAUUACAAUGAAAAUAAAUAUUACAGGAAAAAUUAGGCAAGGAAUGAAUGUACAGUUAGCAUGUGAGGGUUUUGCUAAUCCACAACAGAUUAAAUGGAAAUGGUAUCGUAAUGGGAAACACUUAGCUCGGCAAACAGCAAGUGUUUUGAAUCUGCCGUCCAUAUCUCAUGUGUACCAUGACAAUACAAUCACAUGUGAAGCUACAAAUUCAAUUGGUAGUACGCGCAAAGAAAAAAGGCUGGAUAUCAAAUAUGGUCCACGUUUCAUUAGUGCUAGUAGUCAUGUAGCAGUAGACCCGAGAGAGAAUGCUAAGCUGAAGUGUGAAGCUGAUGGUAAUCCUCAACCGAGCAUCAUUUGGCGGAAAAAAGGUUCCCAUAAUAUCUUGGGAAGUGGUUCGACCUUGGAGCUUGUAGAAGUCAAUGAUGCAGACCUAGGCACCUACUAUUGUACAGCCACAGUUGUUGGUUUUAGUGAAAUCAGUCGAGAAGUACUGCUUUUAAAGAAUGGUCCUCCUCGCAUUAUGAGUGACGGAAAAUUUUAUACAAGUCAAGAGAAAACAGCACACAUUGAAUGUAUUGCUAUAUCCGUCCCGAAACCAGUCAGUAUGUAUUGGAUGAAGAAUGGCAGAACGCUUGAUAAUACAAACUCAGACCGUUUUUCAACGAAUAAUGAAGAAUUACCAUAUGGUAUGAAGAGCACAUUAGAAAUCCUUAAAGUCCACAAAGAGGAUUUUGGCAGUUACAACUGCAGUGUGGCCAACAAAUAUGGUGAAGAUAUAGCCAUUAUUACACUGGCUGAGAAAGAUGUCUUACCAAUGCCAUAUAUAAUUGGUGGCGCCGUAGGAAGUGUAGCAGUCAUUUUAAUCAUUAUUUUAGCUUGUGUGAUAUACCAUAGAUACAAAAACACUGACUCAGGUGCUGACUCUUAUACAGAUUCUGAUAGCACUAUGGAGAAAAAGAAAGAUGUAAAAUCAGAAUCACCAACACUGAUGGGACAAUGGCGCCAGGACUACAACAAAGACCUUUACCGUUAUUCAGAUAACUUCGAUGAAGUUUAUAAUUCCAAGAAAUGUUCCAGAGUAACAACAACGCACAUAUACUCUACACAGAACCCUAUUAUAUGGACCCCAGUAACAGGGAGGGCAGUAUGACAUCUCAACCUUAUGACUAUGUUUCCAGACCAGGCUUAACUGAUGUACCUGGUCCUGCUGAUAGAUAUGAAUCUAACUACAAUCGGACUUUUGUGCCAAGGAGCUUUAAAUCUGAUAUCAGCGAUACUUAUUCAAUGCUGCGAUUACCUCCAGCGGAUCUGUCUAACACCAAGUUUGCAACAAAUGUAUAAAUUCUAUAUGA
rnacentral:misc_RNA from 1 species